rnacentral:misc_RNA from 1 species
GGUCAUGUUUAGUAGAACUUGGAUUAUUUCUUUUAUCAUAUUUUGGUUAAAAAUGAAGAUUUAAUUAAUUUCAUUGAUCUCUUCAAUUUUUUUUUUUAAAAUGGAGAUUAUAUUAAUUAAAUAGUGAUUUCACAUAAAACAAAUAACAAUACAAUGCUAAAGAAAAGAAUAAGCUGCUCUUGAUAACACAAGUACCUUUAGCUAAAGGUUUAAUAGCAAAU